AGUGAACGCUGGCGGUAGGCCUAACACAUGCAAGUCGAACGGCAGCACAGUAAGAGCUUGCUCUUCCGGGUGGCGAGUGGCGGACGGGUGAGGAAUACAUCGGAAUCUACUUUUUCGUGGGGGAUAACGUAGGGAAACUUACGAUAAUACCGCAUACGACCUACGGGUGAAAGCAGGGGAUCUUCGGACCUUGCGCGAUUGAAUGCGCCGAUGUCGGAUUAGCUAGUUGGCGGGGUAAAGGCCCACCAAGGCGACGAUCCGUAGCUGGUCUGAGAGGAUGAUCAGCCACACUGGAACUGAGACGCGGUCCAGACUCCUAAGGGAGGGAGCAGUGGGGAAUAUUAGACAAUGGGCGGAAGCCUGGUCCAGCCAUACCGCGUGGGUGAAGGAGGCCUUCGGUUUGUAAAGCCCUUUUGUUGGGAAAGAAAAGCAGCAGGUUAAUACCCCGCUGUUCUGACGGUACCCAAAGAAUAAGCACCGGCUAACUUCGUG
rnacentral:rRNA from 1 species